GGCGGGGAUGAAGCGAGGGAUGGAAUGGAGGGUUCUAAGACUUCCACUUCCGGCUUGGUUGGAUAAUAUGCUGGGGUCUAUCUGUGUCCUCCAGAUGUGACCACGUGAGCCAGUGAUCCGUGGUGCAUUCUGGUUCUGAGGAAGGGGGAUGGACUUGCAGGAAUUAAGAGUGCGACCUGGCCGGCGCCGCGGCUCACUAGGCUAAUCCUCCGCCUAGCGGCGCCGGCACACAGGGUUCUAGUCCCGGUCGGGGUGCCGGAUUCUGUCCCGGUUGCCCCUCUUCCAGGCCAGCCCUCUGCUGUGGCCAGAGAGUGCAGUGGAGGAUGGCCCAAGUACUUGGGCCCUGCACCCCAUGGGAGACCAGGAGAAGCACCUGGCUCCUGCCAUCGGAUCAGUGCGGUGCGCCGGCCGCAGCGCGCCGGCCGCGGUGGCCAUUGGAGGGUGAACCAACGGCAAAGGAAGACCUUUCUCUCUGUCUCUCUCUCUCACUGUCCACUCUGCCUGUCAAAAAAAAAAAAAAAAAAAAAAGAGUGCGACCUGUCACUGGUGCCUUCGUGUCACAGGCUCCUGGGAGCCCAGCUUGCUUGGAAGACUCGGGAAGAUGUGUGUGUGCUUACGAAAUGUGGCUAAGCCUGUGUUGAUUUUCCCUUUCCCCUUUGCAUUUCCCACAUCACGAAGCUCUUCUUAUGCAAUAGCGUUGACUGGUCAAAGUAGGCGUCCUGCACAUUCAGUAGACUGGAUGGCGGAAGGAGUUCCCACCAGACGCCCUGUGCGUGGGAGACAACCUACUAAAGCCCCCAUUGUGUCUGUUCCCAAAGUCCCCUUCUAGGUGGGUCACCAACUGGAAUCUUCUCUCUGAUCUGCUCCUGCAGGAAGCCCUUGGCCAUGCACCUGCCUGCUCUGCCUCCUAGACCAGGCAGUCCUCUUCCGCACACAGCCCAGACCCCAGCAGGAAGCCUGCUCCUACCCCGCCACGGGCUUGCAUUCUGUCAAACCUCUUCCUGCAAGAAUUCUCUCGCCACCGCCAAGAGGCCAGCGCCUUCUCUGUGCGUUAUACACCCCCUCCUGCAUUACAGCACAAGACAGGACUGUAAAAUGGGAGAAGGCUUUCAAAACAUUCAUGGCAAAUGGAAUUCAAAGGUAAGUUCAUUUUGGUGCAAAAAAAACCUUUCGCAGCCUGCACCAGCUGUGUUCAGAAAUGGUCAUGGACGGUAGAUGUUAUGAAAAGCUGUGCAUGGAUCUCAAGACUUGGACUCCACUUUCCGUGAGCUUUUUGAAGUCUUCUCGUACCGUUCCUAGAGGUCCAUGUGGGUUUAAUGCUUUUCUUCUUGGACGUGAAAUGACCUCUUUUGGUGCAUAUACGCAGUGCACACCCAGAAACACAUCCUCCCAGAGGGUAACACUCGGGUCCCCCGAAUCCAUCACCUUCUUAUUUUUUUUUUGACAGGCAGAGUGGACAGUGAGAGAGAGAGACAGAGAGAAAGGUCUUCCUUUGCCGUUGGUUCACCCUCCAAUGGCCGCCGCGGCUGGCGCACUGCGGCUGGCACACCGCACUGAUCCGAAGGCAGGAGCCAGGUGCUUCUCCUGGUCUCCCAUGGGGUGCAGGGCCCAAGCACCUGGGCCAUCCUCCACUGCACUCCCUGGUCACAGCAGAGAGCUGGCCUGGAAGAGGAGCAACCGGGACAGGAUCCGGUGCCCUGACCGGGACUAGAACCUGGUGUGCCGGCGCCGCUAGGCGGAGGAUUAGCCUAUUGAGCCAUGGCACUGGCCUCAUCACCUUCUUAUGCUAUCUUUUCUUAUCAAGUAGAGGUAUACAUGUUCCAACUCACACUGCUUCUUUGUUUGGGAGAUCUCAUUCGUAUUUGCUAAGAACUAAUUAGUUUUUCCUUGUCAUACUGAAAAUGUUUUGCGUCCAAGUAGCUGGAGUCUUAUUACAGCAUGAAUUUCCAGAGAGUGGGCAAACAGGUGCCACAGUUUGUGUGUGAAGAUAAUGCUGCCGGCCAGUGGUGUCCAUGUGAACCGCUUUCCACUGGUCCUGAAGGAUUUGUGUCAGUGUUGUCACUACAGCUGAAGGGUGCCAGUCCGUCAGCACCAGUGCGGACUCGUGUCAGCGCAAAGAGUUCUUCUGUUACUUGGUUGAUGCAUUUAUUUAGUUAGUUAUUUGAGAGGCAGAGUUAGAGAGAGAGAGAGAGAGAGAGAGAGAGGGAGGGAGAGG
ensembl:lncRNA